CACUAGGACUUCAUAGCACUAGCUAGCAGCC
rnacentral:piRNA from 1 species